UCGACGAGUUCUGUCGCUUAGGGUAGAUUCAAACCAGCUGACAACUUUGAUCCUACUGCCAUCCUGCACGAAACUUGUGACAAAUAAUACAAUUAUAUGGAAACGUAAAAAGUGUGAAAAAGAAGAAGAAAAGGAAAGAGCUGAAAAUCCAGUUCUCUGGGUAACUCAGAGCUUAACGGAGAAAAAUGGGUUUCGGCAUCUACUCAUUACUGGAAGCAGCUCUGUUAGUGAUGAAUGCAAUUGCAAUUCUCCACGAGGAGCGGUUUCUCUGCAAGUAUGGCCUCGGCCGAGACGCUGCUAUACAAGGAUAUCAGCAGCCGGGUGCCAAAACACAAAUAGCAAAUAUAAUUUACUCGGUGAAGUUGGCAAAGAUUCCACUGAUAUUCCUCAACAUCAUCUGUAUCGGGGUUAAAUUAAUCUGGUGAGGCGAACAUCCCGGCGUUUGCAUGCAUGUCCACUGCGCAACUGUUGACCAUCUAAAUCAAUACGUAAAACGACGAUUUAUCUUAUUGAAAGAUGAUGUCUAUGAAACGAGCGAUUGUGUUAUGUAUAGAGAGCAAUUCAUGCCGGAUACUGCACACCGAACGAAACUAAUAUGUCGCGAUUAGUGCGUUAAAUGGGCGAAAUAGACUUCAAUGCUAGAUCCACAAUCUACAUCGUUAACUAUCGAAUGAUUCUCUACAGAUAACAAGUUAUAAACAUUUUGCAUAUUGAAUCGAGAAAAAUAUCAACACAUUGCCUAUCGUAAGAAACGCUCAGUUGAGAAUAACGAUAUAAGAAUCAUUGCUACGACAUAUAUCAACAUCGUUAUCCGGAGACAAUUCGAACAGAUUCCUGUACAAUGGAAAUUCAAGGUCUCCGGAAACCGAGGCCGAAAGGAUCUGACGAUGAUGCUAAGCAUGUGCAUAGAAUACAAGUUGACGAUUACUAUGGUUCCAGGUAAUGCGCAAUAAAAAAUAAGAAACGUCUACAAUACGUUCUAUCAUACGAGACCAAUUUAGUAAAAUCGAAUAUCAUAUAUUUUUAGAUAUAUGCGAAUUGAGUUUUUUUUUUUAAAUAAAUAAAUAAAGCACAAAAAA